rnacentral:rRNA from 1 species
AUGGCUCAAGAUAACACUAAAUUGUGUGACUUUACCAAUACCAACAAUAAUGAUUUCCUUAGCACUCCGAUUGCUCCUCUUAAUGAUGCUGAAUCUUGUGAAAUCAAUGUUGCUUUGUUGAAUCUUGUUAUGAAAGAUCAAUUCUCCGGCCUUCCUAGUGAAGAUGUCACUACUCAUCUAAAUAACUUUGUUGAUUUGUGUGAUAUGCAAAAGAAGAAAGACAUGGAUAAUGAUAUUGCUAAAUUGAAGUCAUUUCCGUUUUCACUUAGAGAUCAUGCCAAAACUUGGUUUUCGUCUUUGCCUAAAAAUAAUAUUGAUUCAUGGAAUAAGUGCAAAGAUGCUUUUAUCUCUAAGUAUUUUCCUCCCGCUAAGAUCAUCUCCCUUAGGAACGAUAUUAUGAAUUUUAAUCAACUUGAUCAUGAACAUGUUGCACAAUCUUAG